CAGUAGCCGCGGGAAUACGGAGGGAGCUAGCGUUGUUCGGAAUUACUGGGCGUAAAGGGCUCGCAGGCGGUUUCUUAAGUCUGAUGUGAAAGCCCCCGGCUCAACCGGGGAGGGUCAUUGGAAACUGGGAAACUUGAGUGCAGAAGAGGAGAGUGGAAUUCCACGUGUAGCGGUGAAAUGCGUAGAGAUGUGGAGGAACACCAGUGGCGAAGGCGACUCUCUGGUCUGUAACUGACGCUGAGGAGCGAAAGCGUGGGGAGCGAACAGGAUUAGAUACCCCUGUAGUCCCUGUCUCUUAUAA
rnacentral:rRNA from 1 species